rnacentral:lncRNA from 1 species
UGAAUAAAGGGAGAUUUCUUGUGGGUUUUUUUUUUUUUUUUUUUGAAAUGGAGUCUUGCUCUGUUGCCCAGGCUGGAGUGCAGUGGUGCGAUCUCGCUCACUGCAAGCUCCACCUCCCGGGUUCACGCCAUUCUCCUGUCUCAGCCUCCCCAGUAACUGGGACUACAGGCACCUGCCACCACGCCCAGCUAAAUUUUUUUGUAUUUUUAGUAGAGACAGGGUUCCACAGUGUUAGCCAGGAUGGUCUUGAGCUCAUGACCUCAUGAUCCGCCCACCUCGGCCUCCCAAAGUGCUGGAAUUACAGGCCGAAUCAGGAUGUUGACCGUGGCCACAUCCACGUCCCAGAGCUUCUUCACAGUCUGUUUGAUCUGGUGCUUGUUGGCUUUAACAUCGACAGUGAAUACAAGCGUGCUGUUGUCUUCUAUCUUCUUCACGGCUGACUCAGUGGUCAGUGGAAACUUGAUGAUAGCAUGGUGGUCAAGCUUGUUUCUCCGGGGGGUGCUCAUCCCAGGAUAUCUGGACUGGAGUCGCAGUGUCUUGGGACGCUGGAAGAUAUUAUUUCCCACUGAUGCUUUUCUGAAAGCUCCUGCAAUCAGCUACAGGUCAGAAUGCUUGUCUCCAACACAGGACUCCCUCUGAGAGUCACCUGUCUGCUCACCGAGAGAAAUGCGUAUCUGAGUGCCGCAUCGGGAGAGGGUAACCAGCAACUCAAAAGAAUGAAACCAUUUGUCUCUUACCUACCUAUGACCUGGAAGCUCCCUGUCUGGCCUUCUCUUCAAGUUGUCUCACCUUUCUGGAGUGAACCAAGAUGGAGUUUCACUCUUGCUGCCCAGGCUGGAGUGCAGUGGCACAAUCUCGGUUCACUGCAACCUCCUCCUCUCAAGUUCAAGCGAUUCUCCCGCCUCACCCUCCUGAGUAGCUGGGAUUACAGGCAUGC